UGAUCAGCUGCGAUUUGAACCCAGGACUCUUGUAUGCUUGACGAGCGCUUUACCAACUAAGUUACCAAGCC
rnacentral:tRNA from 1 species